rnacentral:rRNA from 1 species
UUGACCUCAAAUCAGGUAGGACUACCCGCUGAACUUAAGCAUAUCAAUAAGCGGAGGAAAAGAAACUAACAAGGAUUCCCCUAGUAACUGCGAGUGAAGCGGGAAAAGCUCAAAUUUUGAAUCUGGCGGUCCUUGUGGCCGUCCGAAUUGUAAUCUAGAGAAGUGUCGUCCGCGCUGGCCCGUGUACAAGUCUCCUGGAAGGGAGCGUCU